UAUAAAAGCUGUACAAGUAAGAUAAAUGAACUAUAGUUGGUUAAGAUCACUGUCUCCUUCUAGUGUCAUUUCAUACCUAUUCUACUCUCCCCUGGAAUUGGUGCUGUAGGCAUUUUGGGGGUUGGCCUAAGGGAGGUGGAGUUGAGCAAACACUUUGUUGGGUUAGAGGGAUAUAGUUAUGAGGCUCACAGUCACUUCUGUGUAUAGUUAAAUAUUCCCAGCCACUCUUGUGUAGGAGUGGUUUCAAGAAAUACUUCUGGUGCCCAUUGUGCUGACUCAGCCAGUUCCAUGCCUGAGCUGAGGGGAACAGGCACUAAGGGACCUGGCACCCGAAGCAUGUGGAUGAUAGAAGAAAAUCAAGAUUUGAAAUGGAAGGAACCAGAAGCUAUUCUGUGACAAAUUCCCAUGAGCAGAUGAUGAUGGCGUCUUAUUCCUUUCUGCAUUCCCAGAAUCCUAGCCCACUGCCUGGAACACGAAAGAGGAUCCGUGAAGGCUGUGGCUGAUGUGUCGAAUGAGGACAACCGAACCUCCAAGGUCUUUUCUCUGGAAGAUCACAGAAGAAUUUAAGACUCAGAAAAUGCAAGCAUUUGAGACAGUAGGGUCAUUGUUGUCAGAUGAUCUCCUUGACACUUUCUUUUUCAAAAAAUUUUGGCUGGGAAUUGAGGGAGGAAGAUAAAAGUAAGGUGAGAAUUUACACUAAAUUCAGAAUCUGUGGUUACAUUUACCCAUAUCCUACUUGCCUUGAAAAUCCAAUUGUAUAGAACAGGUUAAAGCUAAGAGUUUUGGAGUUGAAUAUCUUUCUUAGCACUCUGAGCAAGAGCAACUUAAAAAAUUUAUUAAAAUAUGGAUGUAUAGAGCUAUACCUUGUACUCUGUUAAAAUAACUAUCUUUGGUCAAUGCUUUUUGAUGAAGUUGUUUCUUCCACUUCAUUAUUUAGUGAUCUUUCCUUUAUUCGUGAUUUAAUGGUUUUAUUGUCUUGGUUUCUAUGAUUUUAAUUCCUCUCAUCCACUUAGGAAGGAAUAAUAAACAAAUUCAAGGCAAUGUAGAUGAUGUUUUGCAUGAUUUCAUUUUAUCUGUAAUCUGCCUUCAAUGGUGAUGAGGUAGCUUAUUCCAGCUACAUGGAUACUAAAAUGGUUUUAUGUCCAAUAUUCUUACUUGUGAUGAACAAUGUGUGUAAACCUAGAGAGAAAAUUGAGAAAAAACUCUUUCA